UCAGGAUUGGGUCAGUUAG
rnacentral:misc_RNA from 1 species